rnacentral:rRNA from 1 species
CCUACGGGUGGCAGCAGUGAGGAAUAUUGGUCAAUGGGCGAGAGCCUGAACCAGCCAAGUCGCGUGAGGGAGUACUGCCCUAUGGGUUGUAAACCUCUUUUGUCGGGGAGCAAAAGCCGGACGUGUCCGGCUGUGAGAGUACCCGAAGAAAAAGCAUCGGCUAACUCCGUGCCAGCAGCCGCGGUAAUACGGAGGAUGCGAGCGUUAUCCGGAUUUAUUGGGGUUAAAGGUUGCGCAGGCGGAUUUUUAAGUCAGCGGUCAAAUCGUGGGGCUCAACCCCAUCCAGCCGUUGAAACUGGGGAUCUAGAGUGUGCGAGAGGUAUGCGGAAUGCGUGGUGUAGCGGUGAAAUGCAUAGAUAUCACGCAGAACCCCGAUUGCGAAGGCAGUAUACCGGUGCACAACUGACGCUCAGGCACGAAAGCGUGGGUAUCGAACAGGAUUAGAUACCCGUGUAGUC